GAUGAACGCUGGCGGCGUGCCUAAUACAUGCAAGUCGAGCGAACGGACGAGAAGCUUGCUUCUCUGAUGUUAGCGGCGGACGGGUGAGUAACACGUGGAUAACCUACCUAUAAGACUGGGAUAACUUCAGGAAACCGGAGCUAAUACCGGAUAAUAUUUUGAACCGCAUGGUUCAAAAGUGAAAGACGGUCUUGCUGUCACUUAUAGAUGGAUCCGCGCUGCAUUAGCUAGUUGGUAAGGUAACGGCUUACCAAGGCAACGAUGCAUAGCCGACCUGAGAGGGUGAUCGGCCACACUGGAACUGAGACACGGUCCAGACUCCUACGGGAGGCAGCAGUAGGGAAUCUUCCGCAAUGGGCGAAAGCCUGACGGAGCAACGCCGCGUGAGUGAUGAAGGUCUUCGGAUCGUAAAACUCUGUUAUUAGGGAAGAACAUAUGUGUAAGUAACUGUGCACAUCUUGACGGUACCUAAUCAGAAAGCCACGGCUAACUACGUGCCAGCAGCCGCGGUAAUACGUAGGUGGCAAGCGUUAUCCGGAAUUAUUGGGCGUAAAGCGCGCGUAGGCGGUUUUUUAAGUCUGAUGUGAAAGCCCACGGCUCAACCGUGGAGGGUCAUUGGAAACUGGAAAACUUGAGUGCAGAAGAGGAAAGUGGAAUUCCAUGUGUAGCGGUGAAAUGCGCAGGGAUAUGGAGGAACACCAGUGGCGAAGGCGACUUUCUGGUCUGUAACUGACGCUGAUGUGCGAAAGCGUGGGGAUCAAACAGGAUUAGACACCCUGGUAGUCCACGCCGUAAACGAUGAGUGCUAAGUGUUAGGGGGUUUCCGCCCCUUAGUGCUGCAGCUAACGCAUUAAGCACUCCGCCUGGGGAGUACGACCGCAAGGUUGAAACUCAAAGGAAUUGACGGGGACCCGCACAAGCGGUGGAGCAUGUGGUUUAAUUCGAAGCAACGCGAAGAACCUUACCAAAUCUUGACAUCCUUUGACAACUCUAGAGAUAGAGCCUUCCCCUUCGGGGGACAAAGUGACAGGUGGUGCAUGGUUGUCGUCAGCUCGUGUCGUGAGAUGUUGGGUUAAGUCCCGCAACGAGCGCAACCCUUAAGCUUAGUUGCCAUCAUUAAGUUGGGCACUCUAAGUUGACUGCCGGUGACAAACCGGAGGAAGGUGGGGAUGACGUCAAAUCAUCAUGCCCCUUAUGAUUUGGGCUACACACGUGCUACAAUGGACAAUACAAAGGGCAGCGAAACCGCGAGGUCAAGCAAAUCCCAUAAAGUUGUUCUCAGUUCGGAUUGUAGUCUGCAACUCGACUACAUGAAGCUGGAAUCGCUAGUAAUCGUAGAUCAGCAUGCUACGGUGAAUACGUUCCCGGGUCU
rnacentral:rRNA from 1 species